UACGUAGGUGGCGAGCGUUGUCCGGAAUUACUGGGUGUAAAGCGCGCGUAGGCGGGAGGCCAAGUCCGCUGUGAAAUCGCCCGGCUCAACUGGGCGCGGUCGGUGGAAACUGGUCACCUGGAGGACGGUAGAGGCGAGUGGAAUUCCCGGUGUAGUGGUGAAAUGCGUAGAGAUCGGGAGGAGCACCAGUGGCGAAGGCGGCUCGCUGGGCCGGCCCUGACGCUGAGGCGCGAAGGCGUGGGGAGCGAACAGG
rnacentral:rRNA from 1 species